GUUGUUGCUUGAUGGCCUGGGUCUACUCAUGAUACAACUAUAAUUAACCAUUCCGAUUGAAAAGAUGCAUUGGUGUUUGUAAAAGAAGACUCCCUGUAUAUCAUUGAAAAGUAGAUUAAAACUAGAAAAUAUGCAAGCUGUUAUUAUAGCUGCCAUGCUGCAUAAUAUCGUCAGAAGUAUGAAUUUAGAAGAAUUAGAAUCAGAAAUUUCAGUCGCAGAUACAUUACAGGAAAAUAAUAUCAUUGUUCGUAACAAUUUUUCAAAACUUACAUCUGAAAUACAACUAUGUACUUAUAAAUAAUUGCUUCCAAAGAUAAUUUAUAAAAUAAACUCCAAAGAUAA